AUACGGAGGAUCCGAGCGUUAUCCGGAUUUAUUGGGUUUAAAGGGUGCGCAGGCGGGAGAUUAAGUCGGCGGUGAAAUUUUGCAGCUCAACUGUAAAAGGGCCUUCGAAACUGGUUUCCUUGAGUGGAGAUGAAGUAGGCGGAAUUUGUGGUGUAGCGGGGAAAUGCAUAGAUAUCACGAGGAACUCCGAUUGCGCAGGCAGCUUACUAAACUACUACUGACGCUCAGGCACGAAGGCGUGGGGAUCAAACAGGAUUAGAUACCCUGGUAGUCCACGCAGUAAACGAUGAUUACUAGCUGUUUGCGAUACAAUGUAAGCGGCUGAGCGAAAGCGUUAAGUAAUCCACCUGGGGAGUACGUUCGCAAGAAUGAAACUUAAAGGAAUUGGCGGGG
rnacentral:rRNA from 1 species